AGAGUUUGAUCCUGGCUCAGAUUGAACGCUGGCGGCAUGCCUUACACAUGCAAGUCGAACGGUAACAGGUCUUCGGAUGCUGACGAGUGGCGAACGGGUGAGUAAUACAUCGGAACGUGCCCAGUAAUGGGGGAUAGCUCGGCGAAAGCCGGAUUAAUACCGCAUACGCCCUGAGGGGGAAAGUGGGGGAUCGCAAGACCUCACGUUAUUGGAGCGGCCGAUGGCUGAUUAGCUAGUUGGUAGGGUAAAGGCCUACCAAGGCGACGAUCAGUAGCUGGUCUGAGAGGACGAUCAGCCACACUGGGACUGAGACACGGCCCAGACUCCUACGGGAGGCAGCAGUGGGGAAUUUUGGACAAUGGGGGAAACCCUGAUCCAGCAAUGCCGCGUGUGCGAAGAAGGCCUUCGGGUUGUAAAGCACUUUUGUCAGGGAAGAAAUCCUUUGGGCUAAUACCCUAGGGGGAUGACGGUACCUGAAGAAUAAGCACCGGCUAACUACGUGCCAGCAGCCGCGGUAAUACGUAGGGUGCAAGCGUUAAUCGGAAUUACUGGGCGUAAAGCGUGCGCAGGCGGUUGUGUAAGACAGGUGUGAAAUCCCCGGGCUUAACCUGGGAAUUGCAUUUGUGACUGCACGACUAGAGUGUGUCAGAGGGGGGUGGAAUUCCACGUGUAGCAGUGAAAUGCGUAGAUAUGUGGAGGAACACCAAUGGCGAAGGCAGCCCCCUGGGAUAACACUGACGCUCAUGCACGAAAGCGUGGGGAGCAAACAGGAUUAGAUACCCUGGUAGUCCACGCCCUAAACGAUGUCAACUAGUUGUUGGGGAUUCAUUUCCUCAGUAACGUAGCUAACGCGUGAAGUUGACCGCCUGGGGAGUACGGUCGCAAGAUUAAAACUCAAAGGA
rnacentral:rRNA from 1 species